AUUGAACGCUGGCGGCAUGCUUUACACAUGCAAGUCGAACGGCAGCGCGGGCUUCGGCCUGGCGGCGAGUGGCGAACGGGUGAGUAAUGCAUCGGAACGUGCCCAGUAGUGGGGGAUAGCCCGGCGAAAGCCGGAUUAAUACCGCAUACGACCUGAGGGUGAAAGCGGGGGGCCGAAAGGCCUCGCGCUAUUGGAGCGGCCGAUGUCGGAGUAGCGAGGUGGUGGGGUAAAGGCUUACCAAGGCGACGAUCCGUAGCUGGUCUGAGAGGACGACCAGCCACCCUGGGACUGAGACCCCGCCCCGACUCCCUCGGGGGGCCACCGCUGGGAAUUUUUGGCCAUGGGGGCAAACCCUAUCCCGCCCAUCCGGCGGGGGGAAGAAGGCCCUCGGGGUUGUAACCCCUUUUUGUCGGGGAGGAAUCCUUCUGGCUUAUUCCCCGGGGGGAUGACGGUACCGGAAGAAUAAGCACCGGCUAACUACGUG
rnacentral:rRNA from 1 species